ensembl:rRNA 5S_rRNA 5S ribosomal RNA
CUGAGCAGCCAUAUCACCCUGCAACUCACAACUGGCAGCCCACUGAAGCUAAGCAGGUGUGAGCCUGGUCAGUACCUGGAUGGGAGACCUCCUGGGAAAAACUAAGGUUGCUGCUGGAA